rfam:Thermoactinomyces sp. DSM 45891 genome assembly, contig: Ga0066384_102
GGGGGCGUUUAUGGGAUUCGACGGGGAUUGUUCGAGCAUAAGUAGCGAGUCGAGGGGCUGCGUUUCUCGUUAAUCACGCGGACGCCAAUUAUAACUGGCAAACAAAACAAUUUUGCUCUAGCUGCUUAAUUGCAACUAGGAUCCACUGCUCCAUCGCCUAUGUGGCGUAGAUGGGUCUCAUAACUUAGUAGGCUAGCGUUUUAGACGGCUACUGUCUAAAAGGCGAAACAUGAGUAGCUAGUCAUUUGAAAGGCCUGUCGUUGGGCAGUUCAAGUGAUGAAACAACCCAAUAUGACGACUGCACUCGGAGAAGCUUAUGUAGCGAGGUCUUCGGACAGCGGUUCAACUCCGCUCGCCUCCACCA